rnacentral:sRNA from 1 species
GUCACCAUGUGGUUGCUGGAAACUGAACUCAGGAUCUCUGACAGAGAGGGACCAAAGGGUCUCCCUCUGUCCCAUCAACCCACCCUUUUCUCCAGCAGUAGAAGCUGCCUUUGUCUCACCCGGGGAAACUGUCCCCUUUAACUAUCUCUCCCCCUGGAGACACUGUCUGGCUCUUCUCUGAAUUUAUUUACACGCUCAUCCCCCAGCCUCUGAUCAAUGGGAAGCUCCUGACGCUGUGGUGAGUGUGAACGUCUCCCCAUGCUUUUUGUGAGCUGGAAGAUUUUUUAAGAGGGUGGAGUUUGUUGAGGGCGGACCUGUCCGUGAUGCUAAAUUUGGUUUUGCCGUCAUGGGCCACAUGAAGCAGCAGCCUGGUCUAGAGGCUUGCCUUCAGGUUAAAAUAAUUUCUUCAGGCUCAUGUUACAAGUGACCCAUUCAUGUGGGCAUGCUUCCCAGAUUCUUACCAUGACAGACAGGUCCUCUGGCUCCUGAGGAGGGUGGGGGGGGUAGCAGAGAGCGUGGAGCCUUGUGGAAGAGGCCCAAGGGCUUUGACAUAGAGUAGACCUGGAUUUAAGAUGGUGUAUCUGACUCUUUCCUAAGCCCCCCCAAAUUUCUUUGCUCCUCUGUAAAAUGACCCAGCCUCGUGGGGAAACAAGAGCAGAGGCAUAGUUUUUAGUAAAAUAAAUGCAACCAGUAAUUGCUGUGUCCUGUGCGUCUUCAUACAGAUAAACGGAUCUGGAUCACCGGGGAGGCUGGUUGAUUGGCUGGUUUUAAGUAGAACAGACAGCAGUCAACUAUCUCCCAGAAAAUGUGACUUUUAUUUUUAGGUGUUCAGAGCAGUGGGACUGUGGAUCAGCAGGGAAAGGCUUGCCUUCUUUAAACAGGUCAGGCUCGCCCAGCACCAGCCUGCAUAGCCUAUGAGCGCACAGUGUGUGCUGGCAGGCACAUCCUGUAAUCCCAGCACCCAGGAGGUUGAGACAGGAGGUUUUCCAUGAGUUUAAAGUUCACUUGAACUAUCCAGUGAGAUUCGGGUCAGCCUAGAGUGAGACCCUGUCUUAAAACAAAACAACAAAACAAAAACAGAACAUUCUGAACCAGCAGAGUGCUUGUUGGGUGACUGCGCAUGCGCCAGAGGAGCAGGCGAGCCGGGUGACGCAGUCUUUGCUCUCAAGAGGACAGAUUACCUGGGGGAUUGUGGGGGCUGGGGGUGGGGAACCGGACACAGGAAUUGCACACAAAACAAGACAAGAGGAUGACAACUAGACAUAAGCAACUCCAGUGGGGAUGUGCGGGGAGAGGAAGUGUGUGGAGCUCCUGGAUCUAGUGUAUACUAGUGGGGACAACUCAGAGGGGACAAAGACUGCGGAGUCUAUACAGUUUGAAGCCUUCUGAGGGAAGAACUGUCUUGGAGAUGGCGCCCUUCUGUGAGUCUUCCCAGCAUUCCUUCGUAUCAUCUUAUGCUGGCUGCAGACGAUGCGACAGGCAGUUAUGGGCCUGGAAGUCUUCUGACAUCCUUGGUGUCCCAGAGAGGAAGACAUCAAGUUCAAAGUACAUCCCUGGGUCCUCUGCGGCCCAGCUGAGGCGUAGGUACCAGGACAGCAUCACCCACUCUUCCUGGGAGAACAACACUGAGCCACAGGCUGGAAGGAGAAGGAGCACCAGGACCAGCGAUCACAGAUGUCCUCCUUCUCUCGAUGUCAGGGAGUGGAAGGGCCACAGAUGACGUGCCAUUAUCAGUGAUUACAGAUUCACUUCCUGUGGAUUUCAAACUUUCUUUCUGUUGUUGGACCUUGAAUAAAACUUUUUCCUCAGAGGAGUUUA